rnacentral:rRNA from 1 species
GAUGAACGCUGGCGGCGUGCCUAAUACAUGCAAGUCGAGCGAACAGACGAGGAGCUUGCUCCUCUGACGUUAGCGGCGGACGGGUGAGUAACACGUGGAUAACCUACCUAUAAGACUGGGAUAACUUCGGGAAACCGGAGCUAAUACCGGAUAAUAUAUUGAACCGCAUGGUUCAAUAGUGAAAGACGGUUUUGCUGUCGCUUAUAGAUGGAUCCGCGCCGCAUUAGCUAGUUGGUAAGGUAACGGCUACCAAGGCAACGAUGCGUAGCCGACCUGAGAGGGUGAUCGGCCACACUGGAACUGAGACACGGUCCAGACUCCUACGGGAGGCAGCAGUAGGGAAUCUUCCGCAAUGGGCGAAAGCCUGACGGAGCAACGCCGCGUGAGUGAUGAAGGUCUUCGGAUCGUAAAACUCUGUUAUUAGGGAAGAACAAAUGUGUAAGUAACUAUGCACGUCUUGACGGUACCUAAUCAGAAAGCCACGGCUAACUACGUG